UACGUAGGGGGCGAGCGUUGUCCGGAUUUACGGGGCGUAAAGAGCGCGCAGGCGGUCGUUCAAGUCGCGUGUGAAAGCCCCCGGCUCAACUGGGGAGGGUCACGCGAUACUGAUCGACUCGAAGGCAGGAGAGGGUAGUGGAAUUCCCGGUGUAGUGGUGAAAUGCGUAGAUAUCGGGAGGAACACCAGUGGCGAAGGCGACUACCUGGCCUGUUCUUGACGCUGAGGCGCGAAAGCUAGGGGAGCAAACGGG
rnacentral:rRNA from 1 species